rnacentral:rRNA from 1 species
UACGGGGGGGGGCAAGCGUUGUUCGGAAUUACUGGGCGUAAAGAGCGCGUAGGCGGUCCGGUAAGUCAGCUGUGAAAGUCAAGGGCUCAACCCUUGAAAGCCGGCUGAUACUGCCGGACUAGAGUCCGGAAGAGGCGAGUGGAAUUCCCGGUGUAGCGGUGAAAUGCGCAGAUAUCAGGAAGAACACCUAUGGCGAAGGCAGCUCUCUGGGACGGUACUGACGCUGAGACGCGAAAGCGUGGGGAGCAACAGGAUUA